GUUUGAUCAUGGCUCAGGAUGAACGCUAGCGAUAGGCUUAACACAUGCUAGUCGAGGGGCAUCGGGCGGAGAGCUUGCUCUCUGUGCCGGCGACCGGCGUACGGGUGCGUAACACGUGUGCAACCUACCUUGGAUUAGGGGAUAACCCGGUGAAAGUCGGACUAAUACCCUAUAUACCAUUAAAAUCGCAUGAUUUAUAUGGGAAAGAUUUAUUGAUCCGAGAUGGGCACGCGCUCUAUUAGCUAGUUGGUGAGGUAACGGCUCACCAAGGCAACGAUGGAUAGGGGGACUGAGAGGUUGACCCCCCACAAUGGAACUGAGACACGGUCCAUACUCCUACGGGAGGCAGCAGUGAGGAAUAUUGGUCAAUGGGCGAGAGCCUGAACCAGCCAAGUCGCGUGCAGGAAGAAUGUACUUACGGAUUGUAAACUGCUUUUGUAGAGGAGUAAUGUCAGCUACGCGUAGCUGAGGUGCAAGACUCUACGAA
rnacentral:rRNA from 1 species